rnacentral:rRNA from 1 species
UUAGCAUGGAAUAAUGGAAUAGGAAGGGGCUCCUAUUUUGUUGGUUUCUAGGAGAGCCGUAAUGAUUAAUAGGGACAGUUGGGGGCAUCCGUAUUCAGUUGUCAGAGGUGAAAUUCUUGGAUUUACUGAAGACGAACUACUGCGAAAGCAUUUGCCAAAGAUGUUUUCAUUAAUCAGUGAACGAAAGUUAGGGGAUCGAAGACGAUCAGAUACCGUCGUAGUCUUAACCAUAAACCAUGCCGACUAGGGAUCGGGCGAUGUUAUUCUAUUGACUCGCUCGGCACCUUUCGAGAAAUCAAAGUGUUUGGGUUCUGGGGGGAGUAUGGUCGCAAGGCUGAAACUUAAAGAAAUUGACGGAAGGGCACCACCAGGAGUGGAGCCUGCGGCUUAAUUUGACUCAACACGGGGAAACUCACCAGGUCCAGAUACGCGUAGGAUUGACAGAUUGAGAGCUCUUUCUUGAUUGUGUAGUUGGUGGUGCAUGGCCGUUCUUAGUUGGUGGAGUGAUUUGUCUGCUUAAUUGCGAUAACGAACGAGACCUUCAUCGUUAACUAGCCCGGCUCGCCUUGGCGGGUUGUCGGCUUCUUAGCGAGACUUUUGGCUUAAGCCAAAGGAAGUUGGAGGCAAUAACAGGUCUGUGAUGCCCUUAGAUGUUCUGGGCUGCACGCGCGCUACACUGACAGAGGCAACGAGUUUCAUUCCUUGGCCGGAAGGCCUGGGUAAUCUUGUUAAACUCUGUCGUGCUGGGGAUAGAGCAUUGCAAU